rnacentral:rRNA from 1 species
CACUGUUUCGGCAAGGGGGUCAUCCCGACUUACCAACCCGAUGCAAACUGCGAAUACCGGAGAAUGUUAUCACGGGAGACACACGGCGGGUGCUAACGUCCGUCGUGAAGAGGGAAACAACCCAGACCGCCAGCUAAGGUCCCAAAGUCAUGGUUAAGUGGGAAACGAUGUGGGAAGGCCCAGACAGCCAGGAUGUUGGCUUAGAAGCAGCCAUCAUUUAAAGAAAGCGUAAUAGCUCACUGGUCGAGUCGGCCUGCGCGGAAGAUGUAACGGGGCUAAACCAUGCACCGAAGCUGCGGCAGCGACGCUGAUGCGUUGUUGGGUAGGGGAGCGUUCUGUAAGCCUGUGAAGGUGUGCUGUGAGGCAUGCUGGAGGUAUCAGAAGUGCGAAUGCUGACAUAAGUAACGAUAAAGCGGGUGAAAAGCCCGCUCGCCGGAAGACCAAGGGUUCCUGUCCAACGUUAAUCGGGGCAGGGUGAGUCGACCCCUAAGGCGAGGCCGAAAGGCGUAGUCGAUGGGAAACAGGUUAAUAUUCCUGUACUUGGUGUUACUGCGAAGGGGGGACGGAGAAGGCUAUGUUGGCCGGGCGACGGUUGUCCCGGUUUAAGCGUGUAGGCUGGUUUUCCAGGCAAAUCCGGAAAAUCAAGGCUGAGGCGUGAUGACGAGGCACUACGGUGCUGAAGCAACAAAUGCCCUGCUUCCAGGAAAAGCCUCUAAGCAUCAGGUAACAUCAAAUCGUACCCCAAACCGACACAGGUGGUCAGGUAGAGAAUACCAAGGCGCUUGAGAGAACUCGGGUGAAGGAACUAGGCAAAAUGGUGCCGUAACUUCGGGAGAAGGCACGCUGAUAUGUAGGUGAAGUCCCUCGCGGAUGGAGCUGAAAUCAGUCGAAGAUACCAGCUGGCUGCAACUGUUUAUUAAAAACACAGCACUGUGCAAACACGAAAGUGGACGUAUACGGUGUGACGCCUGCCCGGUGCCGGAAGGUUAAUUGAUGGGGUCAGCGCAAGCGAAGCUCUUGAUCGAAGCCCCGGUAAACGGCGGCCGUAACUAUAACGGUCCUAAGGUAGCGAAAUUCCUUGUCGGGUAAGUUCCGACCUGCACGAAUGGCGUAAUGAUGGCCAGGCUGUCUCCACCCGAGACUCAGUGAAAUUGAACUCGCUGUGAAGAUGCAGUGUACCCGCGGCAAGACGGAAAGACCCCGUGAACCUUUACUAUAGCUUGACACUGAACAUUGAGCCUUGAUGUGUAGGAUAGGUGGGAGGCUUUGAAGUGUGGACGCCAGUCUGCAUGGAGCCGGCCUUGAAAUACCACCCUUUAAUGUUUGAUGUUCUAACGUUGACCCGUGAUCCGGGUUGCGGACAGUGUCUGGUGGGUAGUUUGACUGGGGCGGUCUCCUCCUAAAGAGUAACGGAGGAGCACGAAGGUUGGCUAAUCCUGGUCGGACAUCAGGAGGUUAGUGCAAUGGCAUAAGCCAGCUUGACUGCGAGCGUGACGGCGCGAGCAGGUGCGAAAGCAGGUCAUAGUGAUCCGGUGGUUCUGAAUGGAAGGGCCAUCGCUCAACGGAUAA